AGGAUCAUUACAGAGUGCAUGCCCUCACGGGUUGACCUCCCACCCUUGUGUAUCUAUACUGUGUUGCUUUGGCGAGCUGCCCCAGGCGUCACGGCCCGGAGCCUCACGCUUUCGAGCCUGAGAGUCGCUCGCCGAAGGGAAAAGAAACCCUGAGCAUGAGUGUCGUCUGAGCACUAUACAAUAGUUAAAACUUUCAACAACGGAUCUCUUGGUUCUGGCAUCGAUGAAGAACGCAGCGAAAUGCGAUAAGUAAUGCGAAUUGCAGAAUUCAGUGAAUCAUCGAAUCUUUGAACGCACAUUGCGCCCCUUGGUAUUCCGGGGGGCAUGCCUGUUCGAGCGUCAUCUCAACCCUCAAGCUCCGCUUGGUAUUGGGCUUCGUCGGUCACACGACGGGCCUUGAAAUCAGUGGCGGCGCCGUGGGGUCCUGAACGUAGUAACAUAUUUCGUUCCAGGUGCCCCGCGUGCUCCUGCCAUCAAACCCCCCCAUUUUCUAUGGUUGACCUCGGAUCAGGUAGGGAUACCCGCUGAACUUAAGCAUAUCAAUAAGCGGAGGA
rnacentral:sRNA from 1 species